rnacentral:rRNA from 1 species
AAUUAACGCUGGCAAAGUGCAUAACACAUGCAAGUCGAGCGAAACUUGUAGCAAUACAAGUUUAGCGGCAAACGAGUGAGUAACACGUAAACAAUCUACCCUUGAAUGGCGGACAACCAAUCGAAAGGCUGGCUAAUACGCCGUACUCUCCCUUGAAGGCAUCUUCAAGGGAGGAGAGAUCCGCAGGGAUCGUUCUUGGAGGAGUUUGCGGCCCAUCACCUAGUUGGCGGUGUAAUAAACCACCAAGGCUACAACGGGUACCCGGCCUGAAAGGGCGGACGGGCACGAUGGCACUGAAACACGGGCCAUACUCCUACGGGAGGCAGCAGUGGGGAAUUUUGGACAAUGGGCGAAAGCCUGAUCCAGCAACUCUGCGUGAGGGACGAAGGCCUUCGGGUCGUAAACCUCUUUUACAUGGGAAGAAUACCCGCAAGGGUUCGACGGUACCAUGUGAAUAAGCCACGGCUAACUAUGUG